rnacentral:rRNA from 1 species
ACGGAGGGUGCAAGCGUUGUUCGGAAUUACUGGGCGUAAAGCGCGGGCAGGUGGCCUGUUAAGUCUUCUGUGAAAACCCGGAGCUCAACUCCGUGGACCGCAGACGAUACUGGCAGGCUAGAGUAUGGUAGAGGCAAGCGGAAUUCCUGGUGUAGCGGUGGAAUGCGUAGAUAUCAGGAAGAACACCUGUGGCGAAGGCGGCUUGCUGGGCCAUUACUGACACUCAUCCGCGAAAGCGUGGGGAGCAAACAGG